rnacentral:rRNA from 1 species
UACGGAGGGUGCGAGCGUUAAUCGGAAUUACUGGGCGUAAAGGGUGCGUAGGUUGUUGAUUAAGUUAUCUGUAAAAUCCCCGGGCUUAACCUGGGAGUGCCAGAUGAUACUGAUUGACUCGAGUAUGGGAGAGGGUAGUGGAAUUUCCGGUGUAGCGGUGAAAUGCGUAGAGAUCGGAAGGAACACCAGUGGCGAAGGCGACUUCCUGGACCAAUACUGACGCUCAGGUGCGAAAGCGUGGGGAGCAAACAGG